rnacentral:rRNA from 1 species
CACUUCUAAGGAAGGCAGCAGGCGCGCAAAUUACCCAAUCCUGACUCAGGGAGGUAGUGACAAGAAAUAACAAUAAACCGGCUUAUGCCGGUUUAAUUGGAAUGAGUACAAUUUAAACAUCUUAACGAGGAACAAUUGGAGGGCAAGUCUGGUGCCAGCAGCCGCGGUAAUUCCAGCUCCAAUAGCGUAUACUAAAGUUGUUGCAGUUAAAAAGCUCGUAGUUGGAUUUCUGUGGGGACGGAGCGGCCGGCCGCAACUCGCGGUUCGAGCUAGCGCUUUCCCUACAUCCUGCCGCGAACCGUGCUACCAUUAGUUUGGUGGCGCCGGGGAUCGGCUCGAUUACUUUGAGAAAAAUAGAGUGUUCAAAGCAGGCCACACGCCUUGAAUAAGUUAGCAUGGAAUAAUAACUAAGGACUUCGGUUCUAUUUUGUUGGUGUUCGGGACUGAAGUAAUGAUUGAUAGGGACAGUUGGGGCGGUCUGUAUUCCAAAGCGAGAGGUGAAAUUCUUAGACCUUCGGAAGACAAACAGCUGCGAAAGCGUUCCGCAAGGAUGUUCCCUUUGAUCAAGAACGAAAGUUGGGGGAUCGAAGGCGAUCAGAUACCGUCGUAGUCUCAACUAUAAACUAUACCAGCUAGGGAUCGGCCAACGUUAUUUUAUACCGACUUGGUCGGCACCUUAUGAGAAAUCAAAGCAUCUGGGUUCCGGGGGGAGUAUGGUCACAAGGCUGAAACUUAAAGGAAUUGACGGAAGGGCACCACCAGCCGUGGAGCCUGUGGCUUAAUUUGACUCAACACGGGAAAACUUACCAGGUCCAGACAUAGUAAGGAUUGACAGAUUGAUAGCUCUUUCUUGAUUCUGUGGGUGGUGGUGCAUGGCCGUUCUUAGUUGGUGGAGUGAUUUGUCUGGUUAAUUCCGUUAACGAACGAGACCCCAGCCUGCUAAAUAGCGCGCGUGAGCUUUGCUCGCGGCGAGCUUCUUAGAGGGACUAUGAUGCGCGAUAGCACAUGGAAGUUUGGGGCAAUAACAGGUCUGUGAUGCCCUUAGAUGUUCUGGGCCGCACACGGGCUACACUGGCGCCUGCAACGAGCAUAUCAGCUGGCCCGAGAGGGUCUUGGCUAAUCUUUUGAACCGGCGCCGUGCUUGGGAUUGACCUUUGCAAUUGUUGGUCAUGCAACGAGGAAUGCCUUGUAAACGCGAGUCAUCAGCUCGCAUUGAAUACGUCCCUGCCCUUUGUACACACCGCCCGUCGCUCCUACCGAUGAAUGUUCCGAUGAAAUUUUCGGAGAGCACCUGUGAACUUGGCUCUGCCUUGCGAACGGGAGGCUCAAAGUCACUUAAAUCUGAACAUU